AGGAUCUAAAGGCAGAACUUUUGUCUCCUGUUCUCCAUCAGCAGAGGGACUUGACCUACUGCAGGAAACCAGUCAAACCACUGUUGAGUCAAACUCUGAGGGAAUCAUGAAGAUGCAGAUGGUUUGUUUGCUGCUGGUGCUGCUCGGUUCUGAGGUGCUCUCGGUCCACCAAGAUUACGACGACGACAAGGACUACAAAACGCAACAUGAACGUUUCAUAGAGCAACACAUCAAACCAGGGAUGACGCCUGAUCGAUGUAAUAAAGAGAUGAAUAGAAUCAAUUGGAAACGAAAUUGUAAACCAGUUAAUACUUUCAUUUUGGAACAAGCUAAAACAAUUGAUGAACUGUGUGAAGGAAAGACGAAAGAACAAAUGAUCAAAAUUACCACGUACCCUGUUGUCGACUGUAAACGCACUGGCACUCGCACUCGUUGCACUUACAGGGGUGAACAUUUGGACACAAAAUGCAUGAACAUAACAUGUAGAAAGCAGCUUCCUGUACAUCUUGAAAACUGUUGAAACAAACCUGAUGUUUCCUAAUUCAACAUUUGGUAAACUGAAAGACUAAAAAUGUGAAAUGAGUAAUUUGACUGCCUGCUCAUAAAUGAAAUUACAUCCGAGAACAUUAAAACACAUCAGAAAAUAAGAAAACAUGAAAUCAACUCAAAUAAGAUGAUUUUCUUCUCUUCUUACUUUCGUAUCUUAAAGCUGAUGUUAAAAAUCAGCAAAUUUGAAAAUUUUUAAAGGUCUCAAAACACAAUUAAGAUUAUUUUGUUAUGUUGAUAUUACAUAUUUUGACCACGAACACUGAUAUUCAAGGUGGUGGUACAUCCAGAUGGUUUUACCGUAGUUUUUAAGGUUCUAUGUGAAAAACAUCGAGUUUGAAGACAGAGGUGUUAAGUAAAGUAGCGUUGCCAUUAACUUCAGGAAACGAAGGAUCAAAAACCAUUUAAUGUAGUUACAAAACGUGCACAAAGUUGUUCGUAGUCCAACACGUAUCAAAGUAGGGAUUGCUAAAGUGUAGCAUAUUUUCACAGGUUGUGUAACUUUUAGCUCAAAGCCAGUGGCAAUAAAGCAGAUUAUGCUCAGGGAUCUUAAGCUUACGUUACUGAAGCUUCAUAUGGUCGUCUCCUCAUAAAACAGACAAGAAAAGUCCUCUUCUCAGUAUCCUUUUACUGUAGUUUGCUCUUAUUAAAAAAAUGAUCAAGUCCAAUAUUUACACGAGGUGUGUAAAAAUAUUGUCGUCAACAGAUUUUGUAUUGGAACCACAGACGAUCUCCUGAAGCAGUCGAGUCCUCCUGGUUCAGUAGUCAUUUUUCUGACACAUUUGGAGAAAGUAGCUCUGACCAGAACAACAUUUUCCUGGAGAAGGGGGAAAAAAAAGAAAAGUAAAACUGAGAUGGAUCAUUGUCCAGUCUUUGGAUAUAUUAACAAUUCCACGUUGGUUGCAGUUUAGUAAGUCUGAUACUGCCCUGACGGAUCCCCCCUCCCUCUCUUCUCUCAUUCCUCUCUUUCUUCCUCCUUUUUAUCUAUUUAUUUACGUUUACUUUGUUUUUGGGGUGUUUUUUUUUCUUCCUUUGGGUUUUUUUGUUUUUGUUUUUUUCUCUCCCCUUUUUUAUUAAUCUAUUUUUUAAUUUAUACUGUACAGCUUUGAUACUUAAAUAUUAAUUAGAAUAAUUUUCAUUUAUUUGUCAUUAUUUUGUGUGGAUUUUUUGUUCGGUUGUAUAAAAAAAAAAAAAAAAACAUCCUAGGAGGUAGACUGUGUAUUCUGUAUGUUCUGUAUGUUCUACUGUGCCUUACCCCCUAAUAAAAAUAUUAAGAA